GAAUUUCCAAAUAAUACCCAUAUCACCAGCAGGUUACCUUGGUCACUCCUCUUUCAUGUGCUGUGCAGCAAAUUAAGUAAGGAGUUGGUCAUCAAUUACACAAGAAGAUACAUGGCUGUGUAAUUAUUUACUACACUCAUUCAUCUUAUUGUCAGAUAGCAGCCAGGGAGAAAUUCUGAUGAGACUGCUGUUUGGAGAGGAGGAAGGAGAAGCAAAUGUUCUGUGGGACCCCACUUUGAAGAGAGAACUGAGAAGAAGAGAAGCUCCUAAUUAAUUUGUGCAUCUUUCUCAAGUGAAAAGCAGGAACAUAAGGGAUGGCUGUAAGACUCUUA